rnacentral:rRNA from 1 species
GACAAAGUGACAGGUGGUGCAUGGUCGUCGUCAGCUCGUGUCGUGAGAUGUUGGGUUAAGUCCCGCAACGAGCGCAACCCUUAUUGUUAGUUGCCAGCAUUCAGUUGGGCACUCUAGCGAGACUGCCGGUGACAAACCGGAGGAAGGCGGGGACGACGUCAGAUCAUCAUGCCCCUUAUGACCUGGGCUACACACGUGCUACAAUGGCGUAUACAACGAGUUGCCAACCUGCGAAGGUGAGCUAAUCUCUUAAAGUACGUCUCAGUUCGGACUGCAGUCUGCAACUCGACUGCACGAAGUCGGAAUCGCUAGUAAUCGCGGAUCAGCACGCCGCGGUGAAUACGUUCCCGGGUCUUGUACACACCGCCCGUCACACCAUGGGAGUUUGUAAUGCCCAAAGCCGGUGGC